rnacentral:lncRNA from 1 species
GUGGGUGGGGCUCGCGAUUUGAGUCGGGACUAGCGGAUUCGCCGGAGGCUCUGGUCUCCCAGCAAGAGGACAAAUGUGCCGGGAUGUAUGCAGGCAAGCCAGAAGAGGAGAGUCCAGGACCAGUAAAUCAGGUCAGUAAAUGCACUAUUCUGUCAGGGGCCAAGUUACCACUGAAGAGGUAAGACAAGUGAUGGUUGAGGAUCAUAAAUGUGAUUCAAGGACAGCAGAAAUUACCAAGAAGAAAGGGAAAUGUCUGUCAGAUGUGGCACCAAUCUCUUAGUUUCCCCUUAGUAAUACUCCACUGAGAGUAGUUAGAGAAGCUAGUGGGCCAUUGAGAUGGCAGGGUGCCAGCAGCAUUUGGACCCACAGCUUCUGCAACAUUCAAUGCCAGGGCCUGCAGCUGUGGUGGGUGCAGCAGCCUCAGAGGAUGUGAAGUAGACCUCCCCAGAAGUAUCUAUCCUUUUCAGAGAACACCAGCAGAUUAACAGUCACUUUGGACAUUGGAAGCUGCAGCAAACACCUCAAUAUAAUAAGUUGACACAGGAGCAAAGGGAAUGAAUGGUCCAACCCAUGGAGCAGUCAGGGAAGCUGGUCAGGGAAAAGGCAGGGGAGACACCCCUAAGGGGUCCCCAGGCUAUAUGUGAGGAAUUAAAGGGGUCUGGACUUCCCGUACUGUUGUUAGAAACUAAGGAAAAAAUACUACUAAUAAGAUAAAUGUCUGUGGUUGUCUUACAUCUUAGCUGGGUAUGUAGGAAUUUAGGUUAUAUGAAAAUUAUUUAGAAUUAAGCUUUCUUUCUUUCUUUCUUUUUUUCUUUUUCUUUCCUUUUUCUCCUGGUCACCCAUGGCAUAUAGAGUUCCCAGGUCAAGGGUAGGAUCUGACCUAUGCCACAGCUGCGGCAAUGCCAGAUCCUUUAACUCACUUGCCAGGCUGGGGAUUGAACCAUCCUAUUGUGCCACAGCAGGAACUCUAGAAGUAAGUUUUCUUAAGGAGUCACAAAACUUUUCUUUUUUGUUUUUUAGGGCUGCACCUGUGGCAUAUAGAGGUUCCCGGGCUAGGGGUUGAAUCAGAUCUGCAGCUGUUGGCCUACACCACAGCUGUAGCAAUGUGGAAUCAGAGCCACAUCUGUGACCUACGCCAUAGCUCAAGGCAACAUUGGAUCCUUAACCCACUGAGCGAGGCCAGGGAUUGAAUCUGCAUCCUCAUGGAUACUAGUAAGAUUCAUUUCUGCUGAGCCAUGAUGGGAAUUCCAACACAGGAUUAUUCCAACUCCCUCUCUUUCCCUCAGGGUUUGCUGACUUUACCUAUAAUGUCUUCUCAUGUUGCCUCACCCUAAAAGAAUUAGGACUAUCUAAGGCAGCAUUUAACUGGAAACCCAACUAAGGUUUGUGAGGCUGAACAAAUAAAGUUUUAUUUAAAUUUUUUUUUAAUUUUGAUUUUUCUUUUUUCUUUAAAUUUUGUUCUGAGGUAUUUAUUUUUGAAUAUGCAAAAAUUUUAUUUAUUUAAAUAAUUUUUAUUUUUUCCAUUAUAGUUGGUUUACAGUGCUGAGUAAUCACUUUUCUACUGUACAGCAAAGUGACCCAGUCACACAUGCAUAUAUACAUUCAUUUUCUCACAUUACCCUCCAUUAUUCUCCAUCACAAGUGACUAGAUAUAGUUCCCAGUGCUACACAGCAGGAUCUCAUAGCUAAUCCAUUCUGAAUGCAAUACUUUAUAUCUAUUAACCCCAGAUUCCCAGUCCAUCCCACUCCCACCCCCUUCCCCUUGGUAAUCACAAGUCUGUUCUCCAAGUCCAUGAGUUUCUUUUCUGUGGAAAGGUUAUUUGUGCCAUAUAUUAGAUUCCAGAUGUGUGAUAUCAUAUGGUAUUUGUCUUUCUCUUUCUGACUUCACUUAGUAUGAGAGUCUAUAGUUGUAUCCAUGUUGCUGCAAAUGGCAUUAUUUUGUUCUUUUUUAUGGCUGUGAGGUAUUCCAUUGUGUAUAUAUACCAUAUCUUCUUAAUCAAUUCAUCUUGUCAGUGGACAUUGAGGUUGUUUCCAUGUCUUGGCUAUUAUGAAUGGUGCUGCAAUGAACAUAUGGGUGCAUGUGUCUAUUUCAAGGAAAGUUUUGUCUGGAUAUAUGCCCAUUAUAGUUGAUUUGCCAUAAUCCAUCAAUUUCUACUGUACAGCAAAGGUUUAUUUCUUACUUAACAGUAAAUCUGGAAUUGUCAUUCUUCUGACCUGGUUUCAAGAGCUCAGUGAAGAGAAACACAAUUGUAGAAAUCAAGUCUGUUUUUGAGACAGGAAGAAGGUAGAAAUGAGAAGGUGGGCCAAGGACUCAGCAGGAGGAUUUUAUGUUAUAUCAAGAAACAAAAGCUCCAGAAGGCUUCCAGUUAUGUUUCCUUGGCC